UGAUCAGCAGAAUGGGACAUACGUGG
rnacentral:piRNA from 1 species